CCUACGGGAGGCAGCAGUGAGGAAUAUUGGUCAAUGGCCGAGAGGCUGAACCAGCCAAGUCGCGUGAGGGAAGAAUGUCCUAUGGAUUGUAAACCUCUUUUGUCAGGGAGCAAAGUCACCCACGUGUGGGUGUUGGAGAGUACCUGAAGAAAAAGCAUCGGCUAACUCCGUGCCAGCAGCCGCGGUAAUACGUAGGGGGCAAGCGUUAUCCGGAUUUACUGGGUGUAAAGGGAGCGUAGACGGUGCGCCAAGUCUGGAGUGAAAUGCCGCAGCUUAACUGCGGAACUGCUUUGGAAACUGGCGAACUAGAGUGCGGGAGGGGUAAGCGGAAUUCCUAGUGUAGCGGUGAAAUGCGUAGAUAUUAGGAGGAACACCGGUGGCGAAGGCGGCUUACUGGACCGUAACUGACGUUGAGGCUCGAAAGCGUGGGGAGCAAACAGGAUUAGAUACCCGUGUAGUC
rnacentral:rRNA from 1 species